rnacentral:rRNA from 1 species
UACGUAGGGUGCAAGCGUUGUCCGGAAUUAUUGGGCGUAAAGAGCUUGUAGGCGGUUUGUCGCGUCGGAUGUGAAAGCCCGGGGCUUAACUCCGGGUCUGCAUUCGAUACGGGCAGGCUGGAGUGCGGUAGGGGAGAUCGGAAUUCCUGGUGUAGCGGUGAAAUGCGCAGAUAUCAGGAGGAACACCGGUGGCGAAGGCAGCUCACUGGGACGGUACUGACGCUGAGACGCGAAAGCGUGGGGAGCAAACAGG